rnacentral:lncRNA from 1 species
GCAACGUGUUGGACCUUCCGGAGCUUCUCAGAAGACAGAGGGUUUUCUUUUGAGAUCCCUCCCGUAGCUGUCAUACAGAGUGCGAUUUAUGACUUGUAAGUUGUGCUAUGGAGCUUGACAACCAAACCUUCAAUACAUUUAUGAAGAGAGCACUACCGAGACUUUAUACAAUGGAAUAAAAUAACAAAAUGUGCUGACAGCAUUCUUCCACUCAAAGAGAAAAAGUACUUCAACUCGGCCGGGCACGGUGGCUCACGCCUGCACGCCUGUAAUCUCAGCACUUUGGGAAGCCGAGACGAGCGGAUCACGAGGUCAGGAGAUCGAGACCAUCCUGGCUAACACGGUGAAACCGUGUCUCUACUAAAA